GAUGAAGAACGCAGCGAAAUGCGAUAAGUAGUGUGAAUUGCAGAAUUCAGUGAAUCAUCGAAUCUUUGAACGCACAUUGCGCCCCUUUGUAUUCCAUGGGGCAUGCCUGUUCGAGCGUCAUUUGUACCUUCAAGCUCUGCUUGGUGUUGGGUGUUUGUCUCGCCUUUGCGUGUAGACUCGCCUUAAAACCAUUGGCAGCCGGCGUAUUGAUUUCGGAGCGCAGUACAUCUCGCGCUUUGCACUCAGAACGACGACGUCCAAAAGUACAUUUUUACACUCUUGACCUCGGAUCAGGUAGGGAUACCCGCUGAACUUAAGCAUAUCAAUAAGCGGAGGA
rnacentral:misc_RNA from 1 species